rnacentral:rRNA from 1 species
UACGUAGGGUGCGAGCGUUAAUCGGAAUUACUGGGCGUAAAGCGUGCGCAGGCGGUGAUGUAAGACAGAUGUGAAAUCCCCGGGCUCAACCUGGGACCUGCAUUGUGACUGCAUCGCUAGAGUACGGCAGAGGGGGAUGGAAUUCCGCGUGUAGCAGUGAAAUGCGUAGAUAUGCGGAGGAACACCGAUGGCGAAGGCAAUCCCCUGGGCCUGUACUGACGCUCAUGCACGAAAGCGUGGGGAGCAAACAGG